rnacentral:rRNA from 1 species
UACGGGGGGGGCAAGCGUUGUUCGGAAUUACUGGGCGUAAAGGGCUCGUAGGUGGCCAACUAAGUCAGACGUGAAAUCCCCCGGCUUAACCGGGGAACUGCGUCUGAUACUGGAUGGCUUGAGUUCGGGAGAGGGAUGCGGAAUUCCCGGUGUAGAGGUGAAAUUCGUAGAUAUCGGGAGGAACACCAGUGGCGAAGGCGGCGACCUGGGCCAAUACUGACGCUGAGGUGCGAAAGCGUGGGGAGCAAACAGG